UACACUCACUCUUCCCUUGCCCUCACCCUUACCUUAUCUCAUUUUAUCCUUACAUGUUAACUUCAUGACAUUAUUUAGAGAUGAUGUUCUUUCUUAUUCCAUAUAGAAAAUAACCACCUUCAAAGUGACAGCUUAGGGCUCAAACACAGUAGCUAUUCCAGCUACAUCUGAAGACAGACCAGCAUUAUUAGGGAUACAAUUGGUUGUUAUGAACCAGACAGUUGUCGUCGUCGUCAUCAUCAUCAUCAUCAUCAAACAGUUACUACUUACUGAGCCCUUACUUUACGCACAGGCCCCUUGUGAGGCUGACAUUAUUACUUCCCUAUUUAAUGGAGUAGGGCCAGGCCUGGUGAGGUUAAAUGGUCUGCCCCAGGUCUCCCAGUUGGUCAGAGGGGGAACUGGGCCUCCAGAGGGCCUGAGCCAUUGCCAUAGCUCAUUUUCUUCUGGAAGAAGCAGAAGGAAGCAGAGCCCAGCAAGGCGCCUGCCGGCCCCAACAAUCUAACACUGCCAGCAAUGGUGGGAAGGGGCUUUCACAGCAUGUCUUACCUGGGUCCCAGGUCCCCUACGGCCGACCCAGGACCACAGAGCCAUGGCUCCUUUAGAAGAUGGGGAAGGACUUCCCUGGUGGCACAGUGGUUAAGAAUCUGCCUGCCAAUGCAGGGGACACGGGAAGAUCCCACAUGCCGCAGAGCAACUAAGCCCGUGCGCCGCAACUACUGAGCCUGCGCUCUAGAGCCCACGAGCCACAACUACUGAAGCCCACGAGCCACAACUACUGAAGCCCGCAUGCCUAGAGCCCGUGCUCCACAACAAGAGAAGCCACCGCAAUGAGAAGCCCGCGCACCGCAACAAAGACCCAAUGUAGCCAAAAAUAAAAAAUGAAUUAAAAAAAAAGACACAAAAAAGUUGAACAUGAAAGGAUUGAAAAAAAAGAAGAUGGGGAAAGUGCAGGUGGUUGACCCUGGAGGAAUUCAAGCAGAGCAUGAUUUUUGCUGCCUGGAGAAGGAAGUUUGGUUUGGAUUUACAAGUCUCAGGAGAAAGGCAAAUGCCUUUUCCUGGGCCUCUGUUGAAGCAGCCAGGUGCCACUUCCUGGAGCUGUUGCUGGUCCCUAACAUAGCCACAGAGAGCAUCAGGAUACAGGACACCGAAGGACCUCACUGUUCCAGAGGAUGUAGCAGGAAAUACGUCAAAUCCAUGCUCCAGACAUGCAGACUCCGCGGCACGUGGGAUCUUCCCAGACCGGGGCACGAACCCGUGUCCCCUGCAUCGGCAGGCGGACUCUCAACCACUGCGCCACCAGGGAAGCCCACAUGCUGCUCCCCAUGGCUUACAUUACUGCCUGAGCUCCGCCUCCUGUCAGCAUUAUGGUGAGUUGUACAAUUAUUUCAUUAUAUAUUACAAUGUAAUAAUAAUAGAAAUAAAGUGCACAAUAAAUAUAAUGUGCUUGAAUCAUCCCGAAGCCAUCCCCCCCACCCCACCCCACCCCCGGUCCGUGGAAGAAUUGUCUUCCAUGAAACCAGUCCCUGGUGCCAAAAAGGUUGGGGACCACUGUCUUAAAUGAUUGUCCAAGCAAGGGAUGGGGGAGAGUUUUCCUUGUCCUAUCCCUUUCAGAAAGUGUCUAAGUCCUUACCAUGUGUGUUUUCCAAAGGAAAGGCUCCCAGGGCCCAGAGGAGCUAGGAUUUAGAGCCUCGUGGUACAAACCGACUUGUAGGGUCCCAGCCAGGAACAAUUGCCCAUCUUCUAAGAAUCUCACAGCAGUGCCACAUGCCUCAGCUUUAUCCAAGCAACAGAAGGAGGUGGUGGAGGCGGCGGUGGCAGCAGCAGCCUCAGCAGCAGCAGCAAAUCUGUCCCCAGUGCACGACAGCAUUGUUUUGCUGUGAUGGAAUACACAUGGCAUAUGUCUGCAAAGUUACUAUCUUGAGAACGGGUAGAAAGGGGAUUUUUCAUGUGCCAGAUUUCACUUUCCUUUCUGAAACAAUUCCUGUAGUAAACAGAGGUUUUCUGAUCUUGCUAAGAUGCAGAAGAUGGGAAUUCCUUUACACAUUUUAAGUAAAACUAUUGUCUUGUAGAGUUUCAGUCUAUUGACGGUGCAAAUGAUUUUUUUGUGGUACGUGGGUCUCUCACUGCUGAGACCUCUCCCGUUGCAGAGCACAGGCUCCGGACACGCAGGGUCAGCGGCCAUGGCUCACGGGCCCAGCCGCUCCACGGCAUGUGGGAUCCCCCCAACCGGGGAACGAACCCGUGUCCCCUGCAUCGGCAGGCAGACUCUCAACCACUGCACCACCAGGGAAGCCCGGUGGAAAUGUUUUCUAAACGUAGAAGCUCUCCUGUGCCCCCUCCCUCCCUCCAAAGGCCAGGACAGGAAGAGGCACUGCCACCUAUAGGCAACCAACUCUGUUCCAGUCUCAGACCACCCCAGUGAUGAGACCACCGCCUGUCCUGUGGCUGCCAUCCCCUGGCAGACGGAGUGGGAAGAAGAGAAUAAUGAGAUAAUGCAUGCAGAGCACUGGCCAGAAGCCUCGCCUUAGCGGAAGCACUCACUGAGAAUUUGCCCUGUAUGUUUAUUGGUGAUUAUGACUAAUUCCUGUCAAUGACGCAGGUGAGACCCAACACUGUAUACAAAUGGACACACCUACUGAAAUGUAAGUUUGAUAUAAGCAAGGAUUUUGAAAAUCUGUUUUGCUUAUUCCUACAUCUCUAGAGCUUAGUACAGUCCCUGGCACAUUGUUGGCGGUUGGCACUUAGUAAAUGUGCUGACUGAAUAUGUGGUUUUAAUGUUUCCCUGAGUUCUUAUCCUUCAUAUGUCAUGUGCUAAAUCAUCAUUAGUCCAUUGUAUAAAUAUAAAUGCAAAUGGACAUAUGGGCUGAGUAUUUCAAAUUUAUAUGGGCUGAUUUUUUUUCUUAUUUUCAAAAUAUCAAAAGGUAGGGAGAUUCUUAAGAGUUGAUGGGAACUUCAUACUCAGUUGAGUCACAGCCUAGGAGAAAAAUGUGUUUUCCUCCAGGGCUGGGUUUCUAAGAUCAUUAUCCGAAUGCCAGGCCACUUCAGGAAUCAGUGCUUCAAAAAGUCACAAUUAAAAUUGCACGGCUUUAUGUGAUGCCUCUUGAGAACUCAAGGUGCUGUAGAAACACAUUUAAAGCAUGAAGUGCUCCCUGAAGCACUUUCUUCAGAAGUAAUACUUCCAGAGAGGAGAGUACACUUAGGUAAAACCAAUGGUGAGUUCUAUGCCAUGAUCUCAGCAAGACAACCUCUGAGUGCUGGAUGCAACUCAGAGGUUGCAACUUUCCUGGAAAUAUGGAAGGUGAGUUGGCUCCCAAGUGGAUUCAAAGCUAUCCUACUGGAAUAAUAUUGGAAUAUUAUGUUACAUGUGCCUACAGGACUCUUCAAUAAGCUUGUGGUUUUGGUAUCGGUGGCCUGUAGGGGUCAGCUGUGUUUUUUGUUUGCUAGGCAUCCGCUCUUCCUAGUGCUGGUAACUAAGCUUCUAUUUUCCUGGGGAAGCUGUUCCUUCCAAAUUUUAAACUGUGGGGUUUGGGGGGGUGGGCUAACCUUACUCCCAGGCUCCAGAGGACAGCAUGGAACUAGCCAAGAUGUCACAUCCUCUGGCUGCAACCACACAUUCAGAGAAAAGCAAGUUACCCAAAGCCGAUGCAAACAGUCAGACUCCAGUCUGGAGCUUUUCUUAGUACUGUUGGGAAAGAGAAAGCCUUUUGUCUGCUGGGAACUUUUUGCUAUGAGAAUGUAAUUCUGACACUCUCAGAGGGACUGCCUGAGAAUGCAGAGAAGAGAGCUGAGAGAUCAAGAGAGGAGACUCCUGGUGAUACUGUUUGAGUGCCCGGAUCUGGCUAUGCCUGAAGUUCAGAUUUGCCUCUGGACUCCUGGUUUCAAGAGCCAAUAAAUUCUCUCUCCCUCUUUCUUAAACUGAUUUGAACAGCAUUUUAGUCACUUGCAAUGGAGACACUCCUGACUAGCAAAUUGGAAUUCGAAAAUGUAAAUCAGAAAAAGAGGCAUAAAACUGUGAGACUCAUUGCUCAGGUAAAACCCAAAACCUUAAACCAUGACCAGAAGCAAACUCAUGCCUCUUUCUACUUCACAUGAACCUCAAAUUCCAUUAGAACCAGGCAGAGCAGUGAGCUAGUGAACAGCAGAAGUGAAAUUUUUUUCUCCUUUCUUUAACAUUCUCACACACAAAAAGAAUCUGGUCAUUCUUUUCUGAGUUUUGUGCAUGUGCUCUCCACACUCACUGGCUUUACUUUCACAUGUGUUCAUUUGUCUGCUUCCAUGGGGGGAAGACAUUGAAAUAAGCCAGAGGCGAAGUCUUAGUGGAUUUCUCCAGUGCUUUAAAACUCUGUUCUUAGGGGAAUUCCACAGUGUUUGCCAUUGAGCCUGAGAGCUCCAGAAAGUCAUUGUUUGACUUGUGCAGCAUGUAGAGAUGUUCAUUUAACAGGGUUACUGAGCGCCUCUGCCUGCCAGGCUCUGACCGCCACACACGUGUGAGCAAGGGGGCACAGUCUUUCUCUUUUUCAGGAGGGGUGGUUUCUAGUACUUCGUCAGCCCUUCCUUAACCUUUGGGGCUGCACCUUUGCCCCUACUCUCCCUUCUGACCAGGUUGAAUUCUGCUGCUAAAUGAUUCUUUACAAAACACUGCAUCCCAUUCCCAUUUCCCAUUCUGAGGAGCUUCAGUGGUUUCCUAUACUUUUUGUAUUAAAUCGAUACUCUUCUCAGGCCUUAAUAAAACUAAUACUAAUAAUAAAGAGAAGUGAAUAGUUUGGAGCACUUACUAUGUGCCAAGUGCCACAUUUAGGUUUCAUAUGCAUUAUCUUAGUUAAUCCUCAAAAUAACACUAUAGAUACACUGGGGGUGGGGAUGAGGGUGGGAAAUAAAAACACUGUAAAGUAGAUAACAAUGUUAUGCCUAUUUUUUUCCAGAUAAGGAAGCUAAUGCACAGAGAGGUUAAAUAACUUACUCAAGGUCAUGUGGCCAAUAAGUGAUGGAGUUCGACCCUGACACUCUGGCUCCAGACCCCAUGUUUCUACCAGAAGAUUUUGCUAUCUCAAAAGCUCCUCUACAAUCUGCUGUGUCUCUACCUUAUUUCUCACAACUGUCCAAUUUCCACAGUCCACUUAGGUUGAUCUUAUGUCUAUGCCCACCAUUCUCUAGUGUUAUUGCCCUUGCUUAUUUGUUCAUUCAUUCAUUCAUUCAUUCAGCAAAUAUUUACUGAGCCCCUGUCUCAGGUGUUCAUGUCGUCCAGAUGAUAUAACCAAGAAUGCUCUCUUCUCUCACCACUUCUCCAAAUCCUCCAAAUUUCAGGCUUUGUUCCAGACCCUUUCUUUUAUACAUCCCACUUCAGCCAAUGCAGCUGGCAUGGCAUCCCUCUCCAUGAAUGCUGAGGGCAGAGAAGGGCAUGACAUAGUUUAGCACUCAAUUUCACAGGGGCUUUGUGACCUCUCAUGCUGUCUCACUGUCCUAGCAGGAGUGUGAUGUCUGGAGGACCGAGUCAGAGAACUUGCUCCUUUCAUAUCCAUCACAGUGUGCAGUGUAGAUUAGGCAUCCAAGAAACAUUCUUUCACCCAAUUGGUGACUGAACAAAUGGGGUCCAAUGAAAAUACAACGAUUUUUUUUUUUUUUUUUUUUUUUAUGGUACGCAGGCCUCUCACUGUUGUGGCCUCUCCCGUUGAGGAGCACAAACUGCGGACACGCAGGCUCAGCGGCCAUGACUCACGGGCCCAGCCGCUCCGCGGCAUGUGGGAUCUUCCCGGACCGGGGCACGAACCUGUGUCCCCUGCAUCGGCAGGCGGACUCUCAACCACUGCGCCACCAGGGAAGUCCACAACGAUUUUUUUAAAAAUUAAUUUAUUUAUAUUUUUGGCUGCGUUGGGUCUUCGUUGCUGCGUUCAGUCUUUCUCUAGUUGCAGUGAGCUGGGGCUCCUCUUCAUUGCAGUGCGCGGGCUUCUCCUUGAAGUGGCUUCUCUUGUUGUGGAGCAUGGGCUCUAGGCGCGCGGGCUUCAGUAGUGUGGCACUUGGGCUCAGUAGUUGUGGCGCACGGGAUUAGCUGCUCUGCGGCAUGUGGGAUCUUCCUGGACCAGGGCUUGAACUCAUGUUCCCUGCAUUGGCAGGCAGAUUCUUAACCACUGUGCCACCAGGCAAGCCCUACAAUGAUUUUUUAAAUGGCCUUCUGAAAAACUGUGAAUCUGGGUUCUUCCUUUGACCUAGAAUUCACCUCAAGUUGAUGACAGUCUCCUGAGGUAGGUAUUAUACCCAUUUUACAGAUAAGACUGAGGCUCAAGGAAGGUGGGUAACUUGUCUGAUUUCACAAAAUGAAUAUACCUCAGAGCACAGUUUCCCAACCCCUGCAUCAUGCUGCCUCCACAAUCCUUGGAUGGUUCUCCUGAGUUCACAAAUGUUGAAAAUCCAUUGCAGUUCCAGUGGCUAAUGGACUUUCACAAAAAAUAUGCUUCGUCAGGACCUUCCACACAGACAUUUUUAUUUCUGGGAAUGGAAACUUGUGAAGAAACUCCAGUGACUUCUACAUCUGGCUGGCUGCUUACUCCUGGGACUUGAGGUCAAAUCCUAGAAAAGAGUCAUGUGGGAUGUGCUCCCUGGCCAUGUCUCUGGUUCUUGGAUGCUGCCAAGUAACAUUCCUUGAGUUUGUACUCAUCUGAUAGCACUCCUUCCUCAAGGGGGUGGUGGGGAUGGGGGUGGGGAACGUUCUAUUUUUUCCUUUGGUGGUUAUGCCCUGUCACACCCAAGCAGCUCAGUAAAAGGGGAGUGGCCAAGGACCUUACUGAAAACACCGUUCUUUCAUCUCUUCUCCCCCAGCAUGACCCCAUAUGUCCCAGCUGCCCUCUCCAGCCUCGCUCCCUUGCAGGGGCAGUUAUCUCCGCCUUGGCCCUCACCCUCACCUUGCCCUGCCCACAGUAGAGCCUCAGAGGCCCUGUGCUUUCCCCUCGGGCCUACAUCAGGUUCUUCUCACCUGCUCCUCCUUCUCUGCAGUCCUCACUUUUGCAGCCUCUCAGCCUCCCUUCCCUUAAUGCUAUUAGUACACGUUUCCAUUCAGCAGCCUCUCCCCAAACCACUGCUCCUUCUCCUUUCUCUAGAUCCCUUCUCCAUUCUCUCUGCUCCUAGCACUUCUCCCCUCCACUGCCUCCCUCAAACCUCAUUCUAGCCCAACUCUUCCCCAACCUGUCCCUAACCUGCAGUUGGAGUUCCCCUCCUCAGAUCUGCCACCCCAGGUGUGGCUGCCCCUGCCCUGCUCCCACCAUCUUCCUGCCUCCGAAUCUCUGCCCUUUGGGACCUGGGCUCAUGUUUUAAAUCUCUUCUCUCCUAUUAGUACACCUCUGACUGGAGUCCUGACUCUACUUUAUCUUUCACAGCUGUCUUUUAUUCCCGUUUGUAUGCUAGUUUCUUUUUUUUUUAAAAGAUUUUUUUUGAUGUGGACCAUUUUUAAAGUCUUUAUUGAAUUUGUUACAAUAUUGCUUCUGUUUUAUGUUUUGGUUUUUGGCCAUGAGGCCUGUGGGAUCAUUGUUCCCUGACCAGGGCUCAAACCCGCAUCCCCUGCAUUGGAAGGCGAAGUCUCAACCACUGGACUGCCAGAGAAGUCCCGCUAGUUUCUUUUUUAAAUAAAUGUAUAAAAAUAAAGAAGUGUCACUUAAAAUGAAACUAUUAAGUAAACAGCACAGGUGGUACUUGGAUAUGAGGUACACCACCGAUAAACUCCUGAUCUUCAAGAAUCGUGCCUCAAGCAGCCUGGAAUUGCUCAUUGCUCAUUGCACACAUUCUAGUGUGCUCACUAGAAGUUAUUUAUAAAAUAACUUUUUGGUUUAAAAUCCCACAGGCUGAGAGGGAAGGACGACAUACAUGAAACCUCCAUAGUGGUGCAGGGACUAGAAGAGUAAAACUUAAAUGGAACUCAGAAAGUGAAGGGACGAAAUAAGCAGUGGCUUUCAAACCAGGACCUCCAUGGAGUGUUAGAUUUUCAUUUUGAAGCUGAUGGUCUAUGUCUAGCAACUGGAAAGUCAUAGAGGUGCAGGCAUACGAUUAUAGUGAGCAAGGGGAGGAAAUUGAGAAAAUCGAUAUCUAAUCUGAAAAACAAAAAAGCUUUUCAAGUAGGACGUCCGGGCUUGUUCUAGGCUUUGCUCUGGGAGUGUUUCAGUGCUUUCUCUUUCUGUUGGAAUAGAAGGAGGCCUUCAGGACAGGAGGUCUGGGCCUGGGCUACAGCCCGUCUCCUCCCCUCUCCUGAAUGAAUUAAGUCUUACUACUUUCUCCAGCAAAGGCUGCACUACUUGUUGAGAGGCUUAUGGGGAAAGUUGCCAAAGAGCAAUCCAGUUAUCAGCCUCAGCCCCAGCCCUCUCAGGUACAGUUCGCGGAGCAAACCCUCGAACCUAGUUGGGUCUAGACCCAGAAGACACGGAGAGGAGCAGCCCACAAGCGAACCUGCGUGCCACGCACUGAACCGGGUAUGGUGGGGACACAGGCCCUGCCAGCCAGGCACUUGCACUGGCGGCGAGGGGAUAACGUCUGGAGUCUCGGAGCACUGAUCGAACUUGAUGCCUGUGCCUGUUGGAGUCUCAGGUAUCCAUCCCAACUCGGAGGCCUGAGCAGCCAGGCCAGAGACGGACCUCGAGGCUCCGCGUCGUCAACAGCCCGGGAGCGCUUCAGGAGGCGCUUCCAGGACCAGCUGCAGGGAACUGGGCUCUUGCUAUGACACCGCCCACCGCCUUGCCCCGCCCCGUGCGGGUUGCCAAGGUGAUCAGGUGACUCUGAGCUCGCGGCGCUCGGGCCGGUUGUGACGUCAGGCGCGCCCAGGCUCCUCACUCGCUCCUUGGCAGGUGCGGCGCGACUAGUGCGGUCUCGUCUGAUCCCAGCGGGUCCGGGCCGAACCAGUGCCUAGCAGUUUCGAAGAGAAGAGAG